rnacentral:misc_RNA from 1 species
UCCACUUGGAUGAAGAGACGUGGUGCUAGUGGUUGGCAGGGGUGGAAAAGGAUCAUUGCCGACUUGUUGAAGUUGAAGACCUUGUUUCUGACGCUGCUUGAGGUCAAAGGCAGCCCAACCUGGGGACUUACCUCUCGACUGUGACUUUUUGGCAGAGGGCAGGCUCGCAUUAGCAUUCAUGUUGUCUCAAAGCAUGCCCUUCCUUCAAUGAAAAGCCUUAGCACCACCUCGAAUUGUUCAG